rnacentral:lncRNA from 1 species
CAAACUGCGGUGUCACAUGGGAUCACCGCCACUCUCCUAUCCUCUACACUCCCUUUCUUCUCCCUUUCUCUACACCCUUUCCUUCUCCCUUCCACGUAACCCAUAAACCAAACAAAAACUAACUACACCCACGUGUCGAGUUAUAAUGAAACUCCACAUUCCUUUACGCUGCACCCUAACGCAGUUGAACACACUCCACAC